UGCAGCAAACACUCGGUGCUGUUAGCAUCUACAGCGCUGCCAUAGGAAUCUCCACAAUGUUUCGAGUGCCAUUGCUGUACACAAACGUUGCCAUUGGCUUGGCGGGCACAAUUUACACGGCUCUGGGAGGCCUCCGUGGUGUUGUGUGGGCCGACUGUGUUCAAGCUGUGGUUAUGUUUGCUUCACCCCUAAUCAUCAUCGGGAAGGUCUUCUACGAUUCCGGAAAUGCCAACCCACCUCUGAGGCCGCUGGAUGGUUUGAACACUACAGAGUACGUACUCAG
rnacentral:lncRNA from 1 species